UACGAAGGGGGCUAGCGUUGUUCGGAAUUACUGGGCGUAAAGCGCACGUAGGCGGCUACUUAAGUCCGGGGUGAAAUCCCGGGGCUCAACCCCGGAACUGCCUUUGAUACUGGGUAUCUCGAGUCCGGAAGAGGUGAGUGGAAUUCCGAGUGUAGAGGUGAAAUUCGUAGAUAUUCGGAGGAACACCAGUGGCGAAGGCGGCUCACUGGUCCGGUACUGACGCUGAGGUGCGAAAGCGUGGGGAGCAAACAGG
rnacentral:rRNA from 1 species